GGCAAACCAAGAGCACGACAUUUGAAAAAAUUAGCAGCAAGCUUACCACACUAACGUCUCUCUAUAUUUUGGGAAUUUCAGAACUUGCUUCUUUGCCAGAGCAGUUAUUGAAAAAUAAUUCGAGUCUUAUGUCUUUGAGAUAUUCGGUUGUGAUGAUUUGGUAUCCCUAUCACCACAUGGGGAUGUAUGGGGCUUCUACACUUCUCUUCGGUCACUGAAUAUAUCAAACUGUAAGAAAUUGAGUUAUUUGCCGGAUGGACUGCACACCCUUCGUUCCCUUGAGAAUUUCGAGGUAAGAAUUGUCCUAAUCUGAGGUCCUUUCCAAGUAUAAAAGGUGUGGCGUUACUUCUUCGAACUCUAGCGAUAUCGUGUAGUAUUGAAGUUCUACCAAUUGGUCUUCAAUCAUGUAUAUCUCUAUCGUCAUUGGAGAUAGAUGAGUGUCCUAAUCUGAUAUCAAUUCCAAAUCUACAGGAUUUGCAUUCACUUUCCUCUUUAACAAUUAGAUCUUGUAAAAGAUUGAUGGGUUUGCCAGAUGGGUUAGACUACCUCACCCGCUUGAAGGAUUUGAGUAUUGGUGGGUUUUGUGAGGAGUUGGAUGCUUUCCCUAGUCUCAGUUCCAUCCAACACGCAUCCCUUGAAACACUAGAAUUGUAUGGAUGGGCUAAACUCAACUCUCUCCCAGACGAUAUUCAACGAUUUACUGCCCUAACACAACUCUGGAUAAUUAAUUUUGACCAGAUGGAAGCUUUGCCUGAGUGGUUGGGCAACCUUUCUUCUGUUCGAACUUGUAUCUUGUGAAUGCAAGAACCUGAUGUAUCUGCCAACAGCGGGAGCCAUGCAACACCUCACCCGAUUUAUAUAUUAAUGAUUGCCCCAAAUUAAAGGAAAGAUGUGUGAAGGGAAGCGGCGCAGAGUGGCUCAAAAUUGCCCAUAUUCCAAAUAUCUCUCUCUCGAAAACGGAUUAAAGGGUAGUUGUGCAUAUUGGUCCAAGACAGAUCAGAGUGGGAAAAAAAGAAAGAAAAAGGAAAGUUCUCUUCAAGAGCUGCAAAUGAUCAAAAUUCAAGGGCCGCUCACCAAAUUAGAGAAGUUGAAGAUGUUUUUGGUCAAAGUAAGACAAAAACAAUGUGAGGAUUCUUUGCCAUUCUAGCCCCAGUUUUCAAUCAGCCAAACUUUAACACCUAAGCACAUUCUUAGUUGGAGGAGUCAUAUUUUGAGGAUCUUUAUGCUGCAGAUAUGAGGCGUCAAUGUUAGCUUUUGAUUUGGCACAGGGUUAACUUUUUCUCUCUUCAAGAUCUGAAUUUUGGGUACAAGAAUUCUGCUUUCAGGGAACAGAGGAAGUGGACCAAUCCCUUACUAAAGAGAUGCUCACUUUACGGUAAAAGCUGAAUAUUUCUUGUUGGUUGCUGUCAGAAUGGUUGACGGUUGUUGAAUUACUAUCUGAGUGAAGUUCAUCAAAAUUAAGUGGUUGGGAAACCUUUUCUCUCUUCAACAUUUGGUACUUAUUUGGAUGCAAGUGGAUGCCAUGUAUUGGCUCACCAAUUUGCAACACCUAUUCAUUCAUAACUGCCUCAAGUUAAAUGAUAGAAGUGCUGAGAGUAUCAGCCAAUUCUGGUCCAAUGACAGGGAAUGGAUUAAAGAGGAAGCUGUUUGAAGUUAACACAUAUAUUAUUACAACAAUGUGUGUGGCCAAAUUCUAUUAUAUUCAGUUGGAAGAACAAUUAAUUAAUUUAUGAUUGAACAAAGCUGAUGAAUGUGCUCCCAUACAAUGCCUCACUGCAUUAUUACAUCAUCAAGAGGAAGUUUAUGUGAUAUCAGGAAAUGUUGGUGGAAGACGUGGUAGUAUUUCAACCUAGGUCCUCUAAUGCGUGAACAGGUUUGGGUUAUUUGAUGGUUGUUAUCCAAUUGGGGGCUGAAAUGUAUUUAUCUGACACACAAGUUCAGGAUUCUUCACCAUUCUAAAGCCCUGUUCAAUCAGCCAAACUUUGACACCUAGGUGCAUUCUUAGUUUGAGGCGUCAUAUUUUUGAGCUGUGCAGAUGAGCUCUCAAUGGAAGCUUCUGAUUUGGUGCAUGAUUAAAUUUUUUCUCUCUCUUCAAGAUCUGAAUUUUGGGUACAAGAAUGCUACUUUUGGGCAGCAAAGGAAGAGAUCUAAUCCUUUACUAAAGAGAUGCUCUCCGGUGUUAUUCAGAGUGGUCGAUAAUUUGCCGGAAGUUAUUACCAUGUUAUGCUCACUUUACAGUAAAAGCUGGAUAUUUUUUAUUGGUUGCUGCCAGAAUGGUUAAUGAUUGCUCCCGGUCUAAUGGAGUGUUGAUUUGAGUGUUAUCUGGUUGAAGUUCAUCAAAAAUUGAGUGGUUGGGCAACCUUUUCUCUCUUCAACACUUUGUACUUAUUUGGACGCAAGAACCUUUUUUAUCUGGCCUAAAGUGGAUGCCAUGUAACAGCUCACCAAAUUGCAACACCUAUUCAUUCAUAACUGCCUCAAGAUAAAUGAUAGAAGUGCUG